rnacentral:tRNA from 1 species
AUCUAAAUAGUUUAAUAUAGAAUUUUAAUUUGUGAUGUUAAAGGUGAAAUAUAAUUCUUUAGAUC